rnacentral:tRNA from 1 species
GGGAGUAUAGCUCAGUGGAAGAGCAUCCGACUGCAGAUCGGAAUGUCCCCGGUUUAAAACCGGGUGCCCCCU